rnacentral:rRNA from 1 species
UGGGGAAUCUUCCGCAAUGGACGAAAGUCUGACGGAGCAACGCCGCGUGAGUGAUGACGGCCUUCGGGUUGUAAAGCUCUGUUAAUCGGGACGAAAGGCCUUCUUGCGAAUAGUGAGAAGGAUUGACGGUACCGGAAUAGAAAGCCACGGCUAACUACGUGCCAGCAGCCGCGGUAAUACGUAGGUGGCAAGCGUUGUCCGGAAUUAUUGGGCGUAAAGCGCGCGCAGGCGGAUAGGUCAGUCUGUCUUAAAAGUUCGGGGCUUAACCCCGUGAUGGGAUGGAAACUGCCAAUCUAGAGUAUCGGAGAGGAAAGUGGAAUUCCUAGUGUAGCGGUGAAAUGCGUAGAUAUUAGGAAGAACACCAGUGGCGAAGGCGACUUUCUGGACGAAAACUGACGCUGAGGCGCGAAAGCCAGGGGAGCGAACAGGAUUAGAUACCCCGGUAGUCCUGGCCGUAAACGAUGGGUACUAGGUGUAGGAGGUAUCGACCCCUUCUGUGCCGGAGUUAACGCAAUAAGUACCCCGCCUGGGGAGUACGACCGCAAGGUUG